rnacentral:rRNA from 1 species
AGGUGGCUUGAUAAGCCGGUUGUGAAAGCCCCGGGCUCAACCUGGGAACGGCAUCCGGAACUGUCAGGCUAGAGUGCAGGAGAGGAAGGUAGAAUUCCCGGUGUAGCGGUGAAAUGCGUAGAGAUCGGGAGGAAUACCAGUGGCGAAGGCGGCCUUCUGGACUGACACUGACACUGAGGUGCGAAAGCGUGGGUAGCAAACAGGAUUAGAUACCCUGGUAGUCCACGCCGUAAACGAUGUCGACUAGCCGUUGGGCUCCUUGAGAGCUUUGUGGCGCAGUUAACGCGAUAAGUCGACCGCCUGGGGAGUACGGCCGCAAGGUUAAAACUCAAAUGAAUUGACGGGGGCCCGCACAAGCGGUGGAGCAUGUGGUUUAAUUCGAUGCAACGCGAAGAACCUUACCUACCCUUGACAUCGAGAGAACUUGGCAGAGAUGCCUUGGUGCCUUCGGGAACUCUCAGACAGGUGCUGCAUGGCUGUCGUCAGCUCGUGUUGUGAAAUGUUGGGUUAAGUCCCGUAACGAGCGCAACCCUUGUCCCUAUUUGCCAGCGAUUCGGUCGGGAACUCUAGGGAGACUGCCGGUGACAAACCGGAGGAAGGUGGGGACGACGUCAAGUCAUCAUGGCCCUUACGGGUAGGGCUACACACGUGCUACAAUGGCCGGUACAAAGGGUUGCGAAGCCGCGAGGUGGAGCCAAUCCCGAAAAGCCGGUCUCAGUCCGGAUCGGAGUCUGCAACUCGACUCCGUGAAGUCGGAAUCGCUAGUAAUCGUGAAUCAGAAUGUCACGGUGAAUACGUUCCCGGGCCUUGUACACACCGCCCGUCACACCAUGGGAGUGGACUGCACCAGAAGUGGUUAGCUUAACCUUCGGGGGAGCGAUCACCACGGUGUGGUCAUGAU